UUCAGGUACACAGAGAGCUCCUUCAGGAAAAAGCUAACUUUCAGAGCACCAAAACCAAAUUGUAGGGUGAGCUCGGCCCCCCGCCUGAUUUUGAGCACGGCCCUCCCGCAAGGUACAAAGGGUCUGUCCUCCCACACUGUUGGUCUUGUCACACGUGUGCUUAUUAUUAGGGUUGUUCUGAAAUUCUGACUACUGAUUUGAGAGAUGUGGAAAACCCUCGUGCUGUAUUUUAUCAUCCUCUCCUUUAAAAAUAAUUCUGGACAUUGACACAGGAAGGAUGACCCACAGCUGGGGAGAAUAUUUUGUUGUAAAAUCAUCUGUUUCUCUUACUUCGUGUCUGCUUACCUCCUGUCUCUGAAGUGGUCGUGUGGACUGUGGUUAAUUUAUGUCUAGGUCUCUGUUCUCCAUACGUGUUCUCAAGAUAAAGAGAAAAUUCUGGAAAUUAUAUAUAAAAAAAAAUAUAAGAAGGCUCAAAAAGUUGAAGAGAGGAAGGCAGACCAGCCAGGGAUCUCAAGACCCAAGGAAUGACAUGAUGGCUUUGGACCUAGAAGAAGGCACCCACUUCUUUUUCUAGAAGUGGGGUAGAGACAUCAAUCAAAAGCCAUGGACGCAGACAUUAAAGUAAUUUUGGCAUUUUCAGAGGUACUGAUACUGAUGAACUCUUGUUACACCAUCCUCAGAAGAGGCAGAUGGCCCACCUGACCUGUUGGUCCCAAGAAGAGGAUGGGCCACAUGUGGGGUAAGCCUACCCCAGCAAACAUUUAACAUGAAGUCAAACCAUCCUAGCUGACUCAGAAAGCCAUGAACAAAAAAUAAAUGUUUAUUGCUGCAUACCACUGAAAGUUUGAGAUUUGUUAUGCAGCAGGAGUCGACUGCUACAUAUAUCUGACAUGAGCCUAUUACUGGGCAUAUACAACCAUUAGCAAGAACAUAACAUGACCACUUAUAAUGCAUUGGGAGAAAAGUAUACAAUAUAAACAACAUUAUUAAUAUAUAUGGUAUCAGUUGAUUUUUUGAUUUGAUGAAAAGAAAAUCAAUAAAGAAUAGAAAAUGGCAUGUGAGAGGUACAUCUUUGAUUGCUAAUAAAGUUGGAUAUUUUGUAUUUUCCUUUCUCAAA